rnacentral:rRNA from 1 species
AUGACCCCAGGUCAGACGGGACUACCCGCUGAGUUUAAGCAUAUCAAUAAGCGGAGGAAAAG